rnacentral:rRNA from 1 species
AUACGGAGGGUGCAAGCGUUAAUCGGAAUUACUGGACGUAAAGCGUACGUAGGCGGUUCGUUAAGUUAGAUGUGAAAGCCCCGGGCUUAACCUGGGAACUGCAUUUAAAACUGGCGAACUAGAGUUGAGUAGAGGGGAGUGGAAUUUCAGGUGUAGCGGUGAAAUGCGUAGAGAUCUGAAGGAACACCAGUGGCGAAGGCGGCUCCCUGGACUCAAACUGACGCUGAGGUACGAAAGCGUGGGUAGCAAACGGGAUUAGAAACCCUAGUAGUCC